rnacentral:lncRNA from 1 species
GGAACCCGGAGCUGGAAGAUCCGAAGUCUUCUGUGUUCCUUUCCCACAGAGGGAAGCCGGCGAUGAUGGAAAAACUCACCUGGAAAAUGAGGUCAUAGAGUUCUUUCAUAAAGCUCUCAUGAGGACCAAAUAAGAAGCCUGCGGGAGGGGUCAUUUUUGAGGAAUGGGGGAAGUGAAUGAUCUCAAACUACAGAAAUGGCAGUGAACUUGUCUGUUUCAAUUCGGGAGUGGGCUGCUUCCUGAUUGGCUGUGAUUGGGCUUUCACUGUGGU